UACAUACUCCAUACGUUCCAAAAUUCUUGUCUUAAAUUUGUCUACAUAUGAAUGGAUCUAGUCACGUUUUAGUAUUUNNNNACAUCCAUUUCUAGACAAACUUAAGACAUGAAUUUUGGAAUGGAGAGAGUAUAUA
rfam:Hordeum vulgare subsp. vulgare, WGS project CAJW01000000 data, contig: morex_contig_136014